UCCCUUGUGGCCUAGUGGUUAAGGAUUCAGCAUUGUCACUGCUUUGGUGCAGGUUCAAUCCCUGUCCCAGGAA
rnacentral:tRNA from 1 species